ACGCAGUCUGUGAGGCACAGGUACAGGAAACCAGCCCGAUGUAAUUAAUUCCCUCCACCAUCACCUACCUGUGCAGUCCCCUACUUGCACGCAAGCACUCCAUAUCCAGAUCUGAAAAACUAUUCUCCUCUCGCCAGCUGCUAGUGAUUGACGCACAAACAAAUUCCUCACAGUAGAAGUGGAUUUCAGAUUUGGUAGUAGUCCUUUGAGGCCGCUGAUUAUCAAUAAUCUUGAACUGCUGUCCUUCUUCGGCGGAAGGAGAUGAGCAGUUCAGUAGAUCGGCUGGUGCAGCGACCACCCUGCGUCGAAUCCGUAUCGAAUCAAGAUAUAAGAGCCGAUGAGUGCGCAGUCGGGAUAGCUCAGAUGACCGUCAAAAAGGGGCGCCAGCUUUGGACAGUUGCUGAAGCGGACGAGCUCGAUUCUUCUAAUGGCUGGGUUCGACAGUUCUAGAUGCAGAGCAUGGGUCGAAAUCAAGGACUCCAAAUCUUAUUGCUGUGGAAAGGAAAACAGCGGCUGGGUUCGACGGCACCAGUUUAGUACACGUUGGGACAAGGAUUUGGAGAGACCGACCCCAUGUGUCAACUAUGUUCAACGAAAUGUGGAGCGUGGUUUUAAAUGGAGAUUCUUGGUAUGGCGUGUGCGGACGUAAGUCAGUAGGAGAGAAACAAGGUGACGAGGUUAACAGCUUCCCAUGCAACGAAAGCGUGAAAUGAUGUCAUUGAAUCUCACAAUUAGCCUGUUGCAAUUCAAGAUCAGAGAAGUGAUACUAUGUAUCUUCGUAAUGAAUGAAUAAAAAGAA